GCUUAUUGGCUCAAUUAUUCAAAUUAAUUUUAUUAAUAACUAAAGUGUUUUGCUUAAACUAAAACUACAUUGAACUCUUUUAUAGUGAUCUCGUAAAUUAAAUGCACAUCCGCUGAUUUCGACAAUGGAAGAAAUUAUUUUUAAAUAUAUGAAGAUGUUUUUUUUAUUCUUUAUUUUACAAUUAAUGUAUUAAAUGUGACGUCAUUUGGAUGAUAUGACGUCAGCAGUGUAAGUGAAUCAUCUUCGCGUGCAUUUGAAGUUGGCUUCAAGGAUCAUAGCCAUUGGUGGAUAUUUAAAGAUGCCGGUUACUCGACGGAUAUUGGGAAUUAAUUUUCUCAGGAUCCCAGAUCACAAAAUCAGCAUCCAUUCCGACUCGUAAAGAUCCUUUUUGAUUGUUUAAACCACAAAGAGCUGCUGGCGCCGAACAAACUAAAACAGUGUUCAAAUCCUUAAGUUCUAUUAAAGCUUUUUUCACAUCAUUUUCAUUAACAUGGGGGAAUUCUUCAAC